AAAAAUUAUAUGUGAAAUGAAGAUGCCAAAAGUACUGUGGUGCUCUGAAGUCCGACAGGCCUAGACAUAGAGGCUCAGACUCAAGCAAAGGAUAAUGAUGUUGCUGUUAUUUUCAUCCACGUGUAAAUCCGCAAAUCCAACGCUGAGUCAUGAAAAUCCUACUUUGACAACGGGACAGAACUGUUUAUUACCCUGGGAAUGAUUUUGAAAAAAAAAAAUUUGUGUAUCUUU